UACGUAGGGGGCAAGCGUUGUCCGGAAUCAUUGGGCGUAAAGCGCGUGUAGGCGGCUCGGUAAGUCGGGUGUGAAAACUCGGGGCUCAACCCCGAGACGCCACUCGAUACUGCUGUGGCUUGAGUCCGGUAGAGGAGUGUGGAAUUCCUGGUGUAGCGGUGAAAUGCGCAGAUAUCAGGAGGAACACCGAUGGCGAAGGCAGCACUCUGGGCCGGUACUGACGCUGAGGAGCGAAAGCGUGGGGAGCAAACAGG
rnacentral:rRNA from 1 species